AGCAGUGUAGUGAAGUGGCUGGAGUGCUGGACUAGGAUUCUGGGAGACCAGGGUUCGAAUCCCUGCUCAGCCG